UUUUCAGCCGCCGCGGUAAUACGUAGGGUGCGAGCGUUGUCCGGAAUUAUUGGGCGUAAAGAGCUCGUAGGCGGUUUGUCGCGUCGGCCGUGAAAACUUGGGGCUUAACUCCAAGCUUGCGGUCGAUACGGGCAGACUUGAGUUCGGCAGGGGAGACUGGAAUUCCUGGUGUAGCGGUGAAAUGCGCAGAUAUCAGGAGGAACACCGGUGGCGAAGGCGGGUCUCUGGGCCGAUACUGACGCUGAGGAGCGAAAGCGUGGGGAGCGAACAGGAUUAGAAACCCUAGUAGUCC
rnacentral:rRNA from 1 species